rnacentral:lncRNA from 1 species
CACGACUGAGCAGCUGCACUGAACAACCAAAGCUGAAGAUGUUCCCAUCCACCUUGUCCCCUUACUGGUGCAUAAAAAAUUGCUACAUCAGACCAUAGAGUGUUUAUCCUUCAAAGAAAUAUAGUAUAUAUUUUAAUUUAAUAUUUUAUAUUUGUUGCUUUCUUUCCCUUUGGUUUCUUUAGUCCAUUCCCUUGAAACUUUCAAUUGAUCAAAAUAAAAGUAAAAAUGGACUGCAGUUUGGAAAUACUCAUUAACUUUCCAAAUUAUUACAUGCAUUACUUAUUCUGACAAUUUAUAACAUGAAGGACAUAUCUACAUUUUUUGCAGAUAGAACCAAUCUAUUUUCUUGUUUCACUUGUAGUUUUGUUAAUGAAAAACAUUUCAAAAUAACAAUAGAUAAUAUAAAAAACUUCCAUAAGCCAGCUUCCUAAAUUAACAAAUACUGACAUUUUAUAAUUGCUUUAAUUAAACUUAUUUUCCUUUUAAUAAUAAAAUUUAUUACUUUAUUUUAACAAAAAAUUAUUAUCACAAAGUUAAAGUUCCCUGUUUUUCCUUUACCAUGCUCAUUUCUCACCUUUCUCUAAGAAAACAACUCUUGAAUUGGGAGUAUAGCCAGGCCACAUUUUGUCUGCUUCUGUUACAUACAACUGGAUUCACAAGAAAUAUACAGCAUUGUUUUAUAGAUUUAAAAUUUUUAACCUAUAUGACAUUUAUGGUACAUGGUCUAAUUUUCAUCCAAUGUUGUUUUUUAGUUCUUGCUGUGUUCAUACAUGUAGAUUUAAUCCAUUUAUUUAACCUCUGGAUACUGUUUCAUUUUAUAGAUCCUUUUGUUGAGAAACAGUUGGGUUGCUUCCAUUAAUUCAUUAUUACAAUGAAUGCUGCAAUGAACUUUAAACAUAUUUUCUUGUUCAUGUUCAGGUGCAAAGAAUUCCUUAACCACCUCUGUUUCCUCAAUAAAGGCAAUCUGUUAUUUAAAAGAAAAAAAUAGAUGUUACUUCAUUCUUUUCAAAAAGUAAAUAUAAUUGAUAAAAUCUUCAACAAUAUCUUUCCCUCUCUUUGUGUAAAAUAACUAUGUGUUAGCAUGUUACAAUGAAAAGAUGGUGAUUGUUAUUACAUUCCAUGAAAAAGCUCUUAUCAGAAUGUCAACUUUCUUUAUUCUAUUGGAAAUAAUAAUAAUAAAAGAAAUUUCCCCUAGCCCCAAAGAAAGCACAACCUAUCAUUUUUAUACAUACUUUCAACUAUUCCAUCAGGAAUAUUGAAAUUCUUUAUAUAGACUUGCUGCUGCUGCUGUUUAGUCACUUCAGUUGAGUCCAGCUCUGUGUGACCCCAUGGACAGUAGCCCGCCAGGCUCCUCUGUCCAUGGAAUUCU